CAGCAGCCGCGGGAAUACGUAGGGUGCAAGCGUUAAUCGGAAUUACUGGGCGUAAAGCGUGCGCGGCGGUUCGCUAAGACAGAUGUGAAAUCCCCGGGCUUAACCUGGGAACUGCAUUUGUGACUGGCGGGCUAGAGUAUGGCAGAGGGGGGUAGAAUUCCACGUGUAGCAGUGAAAUGCGUAGAGAUGUGGAGGAAUACCGAUGGCGAAGGCAGCCCCCUGGGCCAAUACUGACGCUCAUGCACGAAAGCGUGGGGAGCAAACAGGAUUAGAUACCCCUGUAGUCCCUGUCUCUUAUACA
rnacentral:rRNA from 1 species